GGGCCCGAGCUUCAGUUUUUCGACGUCGUGGCAAGCUGGCCUGGCUCUGUCCACGAUAGUCGAAUUUUUACUAACAGCAGAGUAAGUGUCAUGUAUGAGCAGAAGGCAGUAACUGGCAUCCUCCUUGGCGAUCAAGGUUACGCAUGUUCGCCCUAUUUGAUGACCCCACUGAGGAACCCUCAAACAACUGCAGAGAAAAGGUACAACAGGAGUCACAUUAGAACGAGGAAUUCCAUUGAGCGAGCUUUUGGACUCUGGAAGAGACGUUUUGCAUGCCUCAGGACAAAGCUGGAAACGCUGACAGAGCGGACGGUUGCAAUUAUCACCGCAUGUGCAGCACUGCAUAACAUUGCUUGCACUUUGCGGGAACCCAACCCUAAUGUUGACGAGCCGGAGCCUGAAGGUGAAGGUGUGGCAUUGUGUGAACCUGACUCACCUCUGGGUACCCAACAUCGAAGGCACCUUAUCCAGCGUUGCUUCACAAGUGCCCAAAGUGAAGAUGACAGCGAUAUGGACACGGUGUAGAGCACGAAGGCGAGCCUCCAGCUCCGUCGAUAAUGCUGUGUCGACAGCAGCAAGACGACCACUUUGGCGACGGCGAACAACUGGCUCAGCUCCUGAGCCUUGGUCCAUGAAAGCAUC
rnacentral:lncRNA from 1 species